CCUCAACGCUGUGAAGAAAGGUUCCUAAGCCCGGAGGAUACAAUCUCGACAGGAAGGCGAGGCUAACAAGCCGGGCCGGCUCAUUCAGGUCACAGAGGCUGCGACCCAGGAGCCCCUGGAAAGGAUGAGAAAACCAGCGUUGGGGCAAGGGUCUUGAAGAUCACCGGGAUCCCCUCUCCACGCCUGUAGGUGAGGAAACAGAGGCCCAGAAAGGUAAAGUGACUUGCACAGGGUCGCACAGCUAUUUCUCUGUCAAGGCCACUCCUGGAAGCUCUGCUGGUCUUGGAUGCUGCCGGAGACGCACGAUGACAGCUUGGGAAAAGGAGGGCCACAUCCUAGCUGAGGAGUGAGCCUCUGGGAGAGCGUGCUGUGGUCUCCAACAGCAGGGGGAAAAACACGCAGGAGUUAUAAUUAGUCAGGAAGAGGAAAGAGGAGCGGAGCGUGUGAAUCACCAGCCCCGGUGACAGACGGUUAGAGCUGAGCAGAAGUUUUGGGAGAAGCUGCUGGGGUGUGGAAGAAAAUCAUUAUGGAUGUCAGGCAUAAAUGCAAUCCUUGUGUGGUGCUGAGAACAGAAAAUGGAAGGAAAAUACCUCCUGAGCUCGCCCACGCCUGUGUCACA